rnacentral:lncRNA from 1 species
UCAGGGGCGAAGUUUGGCUCCCGUAGGAGUCCGGGCACAGUUCACUUGCAAUUGGCGUCGGGGGCGAAGUCCGGCUCUCGUAGGAGUCCGGAUGAAGUCUUCCUGCAGCCGGAGUUGGGGACAAGGUCCGACUCCCGUAGGAGUCCGGACGUCGCGAAUAAUCCGAUCGACGCUAGCGGGGUCCUGUCUGUCGGCAAAACUCGAGA